AUACCAUUCACCUGUCCUA
rnacentral:siRNA from 1 species